rnacentral:rRNA from 1 species
ACUCCUACGGGAGGCAGCAGUGAGGAAUAUUGGUCAAUGGGCGAGAGCCUGAACCAGCCAAGUCGCGUGAGGGAAGACGGUCCUAUGGAUUGUAAACCUCUUUUGCCGGGGAGCAAAAAGCGGUACGUGUACCGCAUCGAGAGUACCCGGAGAAAAAGCAUCGGCUAACUCCGUGCCAGCAGCCGCGGUAAUACGGAGGAUGCGAGCGUUAUCCGGAUUUAUUGGGUUUAAAGGGUGCGUAGGCGGGAUGCCAAGUCAGCGGUAAAAAUGCGGUGCUCAACGCCGUCGAGCCGUUGAAACUGGCGUUCUUGAGUGGGCGAGAAGUAUGCGGAAUGCGUGGUGUAGCGGUGAAAUGCAUAGAUAUCACGCAGAACUCCGAUUGCGAAGGCAGCAUACCGGCGCCCUACUGACGCUGAGGCACGAAAGCGUGGGUAUCGAACAGGAUUAGAUACCCUCGUAAU